AUUGAACGCUAGCGGGAUGCUUUACACAUGCAAGUCGAACGGCAGCGCGGACUUCGGUCUGGCGGCGAGUGGCGAACGGGUGAGUAAUGUAUCGGAACGUGCCCAGUAGCGGGGGAUAACUACGCGAAAGCGUAGCUAAUACCGCAUACGCCCUACGGGGGAAAGCAGGGGAUCGUAAGACCUUGCACUAUUGGAGCGGCCGAUAUCGGAUUAGCUAGUUGGUGAGGUAACGGCUCACCAAGGCGACGAUCCGUAGCUGGUUUGAGAGGACGACCAGCCACACUGGGACUGAGACACGGCCCAGACUCCUAUGGGAGGCAGCAGUGGGGAAUUUUGGACAAUGGGGGCAACCCUGAUCCAGCCAUCCCGCGUGUGCGAUGAAGGCCUUCGGGUUGUAAAGCACUUUUGGCAGGAAAGAAACGUCGCGGGCUAAUACCCCGUGGAACUGACGGUACCUGCAGAAUAAGCACCGGCUAACUACGUG
rnacentral:rRNA from 1 species